ACAACAACCUCAUCCAAAUAAAUAAACUAACCAUUUAUAAAAAAGCCCCAAGGAACUGGUUAUAUGGAAUAAACUGAAAAAUGUGUUUAGCUGCAAUGUUCCAAUACUAGAGGGUUAAGAUACACAGAACUCACUUAAGUUAUAUAUAUAUAUAUAUUUAUAGUGUAUGUUUAACAUCUGAUUACUUAGGUCCAUAUGAAAAUCUGAGCACCUUCCUUUCUUAAAUUUAUGCACCACCAUGAUAUACAAUAAUUUUAAAGUAAACAGGGAAACCAGACUUAUCAUUAAAGCACUCACUGAUGAAGCUACGUGCUUACAGUGUUUUCAAAACAUCACAAACAUGCUGAAUUAAGACCACAAAAAAGUUUAGGAUAGCACCCACUUCAACGCAAGUUAUCCUCUGAUUUGAGUCUUCCACCUCUCUCCUGGGCUCAAUGUUACAUGGUAAGCGAACUCUGGAGGAGCAGUAUCAGAAGAAAACAACAGCUAUUAAAAUUUCCUAAUGCAGUGUAGGAUUAGUGAGGUUGUAGGUGUUGAGAACAACUGAAGGAGGGCUGAAGCCUGAGUCAUGGCAGAGCAGCACAGGAAUAGGAACCCCACGAGAACCCACAAAACCACCCGCUCUGCUGAGGAGUCGCACUGCCCACCUGCACCUCCUCCUUCAAAUAAGCACCCCCAUGACUUCAAAACCAGAUUUUUGUGAGACCCAGCAAGACAGCCACCACGACCAGAAAGCCCUUGGGUAAAAGGCUGUGCACAAACCUCCUCCGCCUGCUCUGUCUUUCGAUGCUCUCAGCCCAGGCUCGCUCCAGGUGACAACGCAGCGCACACCGCUUCCCUUCCCGCAUGCUCCCACCUUCCCGGCCUCUUAGGACUGGGCUUCUGCUCUGCCCCUCCCAGGCACUAAGCGUGCCCUGCCCUGUGCUAGAACCCUCCGUGAAGGCGUGUUUCCACCCACCCCAAUGGCGACUCUCUCCCCCAGGGCAGCUGCUGCCCUCCUUUUACUCCUUUAUAGAUGGAGUGGUGAACAGGCGGUGCUAGGAGGUUUGUCAUCCUGUGAACCGGGGAAAUGCUGUAGCUGGGUCUCCUCCUGAUGCAUGAGGCAGCUGUUGGGAUGGCAGGUAAGUGUUCUAAAGAAAAGCCACCAACCUGCCCGGUGGGCAGCUCUUCUGUCCCUGAAGCUGCCUUCUGUAUCUCCAGGGGGAAAAGAUAAUGCUGGAAAGAGCAGAUUUUUAUCCUAGUUUUCCCAAUGCAAUGGCUGUAAGUAGCAGGAAUUAUCAGCUGAGUGUGUACACCUUUAAAUGGACCAAAAUAUUAUUUUCAUAAUGUAAAUUCAUGAUUAGGUUUACGCUCAUGCAUUUUCCUAGGCAUUGCUUUGAGGGUGGAGGUUGAAAACUAAUUCUAAAAGAUGUACAUAAUAUGCAUUUAAGGAGGACAGAAUUUCCAUUUUCCAGCCAAAUUCCUGAUAGUUUCUAACAGCUGAGAAUGCAACUUCUGAAUAAUUUGGGUAUGCAAUAUAUCUUUCUCUGUCACUUUCUGAGGUUUGGUGGGGUUUUGUUUUUUUUUUUUGGUUUUUUGGGGUUUUUUGUUUGUUUUUUAAGGAGAUUAUAGAACAUAAGGGCUAUUUGCAACUGUAAAAGCUAUUUCUGUCUUGUUAACAAUCUCAGCUUCUGCACUUUUGACACCAAGCAUCAGGUUAACUGUUAGCAAAAAAAGGCAGUUUUAGCAGUAAAUGGUAAUAGCCACCUUUGGUUUAUCCAGCCAGCAGCCUUGGUGAAACUGUGUAGGCUAAUGUGCUCUUCCUCAGUUCCUUGGAGUCUCUGAAGUUUUGGCAAUAACCCAUCUCCUGUGUGUUUAUAACCUUUCUAUUUUUGUGCAUUGCUAGAUACUUUUCCUGAAAAAAGUAAAAUAAGGAAAACCAGAAAUUCAUUGAUUUCUUUCAACAAGAGCUGAGCUAUUUUUAUGUAGCUUUUGAGUUCUUCUUUUGCUAAAUGUUAGAAAAAUUACAGCUGCUUCAACACUUCUCAAGUAAGUAAAAGGCUAUGAAAAAAUGUUAAUAGUGUUAGACAACUUAAAACAAGAUCAGUGCAGAAUCUCGAGUUGUUUACCAGUCCUUUAGGAUCAUAGCAGCAUUUGAAUUGUUAGAAGUCAUCUCUAAGCAACUUCCUCUGAAGAAAGCUUUAUUUUCUCUGAAGAUAAGGACAAAAAUAAGGUGGUUUUUUUUGUUGUUGUUUUUUGUUGUUUUGUUAAUCCAAAGACUUGACCAGGAAGUUAAUCAGGAAUGCCUGGUCUAAAUAUGUUCCUUGUCAUCACAGCUAAAUAAUGCAAUAAUGAGUGUUGGUUAGCUAACUCACUCUAAAUUCCUAGAGAUGAUCAAGUAAGGAGGUGCUUUUAGGCCCAGAUGAGCAUCCAAGGUGGUUCAUGCUGCAUAAAUAAGAUCAUGGGAAAAAAAAAAAAAAGUGCCUGACUUCAGCUGAAUUUUGUAGUUUUCCACCUAGUGGUUUCAAUAGAAAACCUGCUGAAGUGCUGGUGGAUGUUCUAGCAGCUGACAUAGAAAAUUGAAUUAUUUACAUGGCAAAGAUCUCUCCUUACUUCACAAGUGUUACAUCAUUUUCACACUGUUUUUAAUUUUUUUAGCAUUCUAGAAAUACUGAAAAUCUAUACACAGUUUAUCAAUCAAUCUCUCCUCCCCCAAAAAAAUCUAGGCUUUAACUCUGACAGGACUAGUUUUAGUAUUUUAAAUAAACAAAAAAAAACCCCAACUAACCAAUCAAAAAAUCAGGUAUAGCUUAAACAUACAGCUGGCCAUAAAUCCAGGGUAAUUUGAUACCUGAUUAUUACUCUCACUAGUACCAUUAGUGCUCUUAGAACUGACAGCUAUAUUCUUUCUGAAUACCAUUAUUCUUUUCUCCCCCUUCCUAUUUUCUUGUGGUUAGCACUGUCAAAAAAUUGUAGCAAAUCAAUGCUCAAGCUUGUGAAGCUCGAAGUGAAUGUUGCCACAUAAAGACAGUGGCUUAGUUUCAGUUAUUCCUAGUCUGUCUUUCCUUCUGCCAAAGAAUCCAGCUCCAGGAACAACUGGAUGUGCAUGUACAGUAUCUCCAAGGCAUUCAUCACAUGUCAGGGCUAAGGUAUAUAAAAUGAUUCAGCAUCUCCAAAAGUCAGUAAAUGAUGUAAAAACAAGCCAGGCCGGUUAGAAACCAGUCAGGUGGUGAUCUUACCUCCACUCAUGUUCUGAUUUGAUUUCUUCUUGGCCUGGCUUAAACUUGAUGGAUGAGUAACUUCUGCCAUCUGUGGAGUGAGAAAUGUGGCCUGGCUUAGCAAGGAGCCGUUGUCUGGUUUAGUGCCGACACAGUGAUGGAACAACCUCCUCUGUAAAUUAGGAUGUUCAAGCAACAGUCAGAAAAUCUCUGGGUGGCAGAUUAUGGGUUAUAUAAUUUGUCUGUAUGUGCAAGAGCAGAGAGAGCUUAUGGAGAAGAGCACAAGGGAACACUGCCGUGGCAAAUCAGGUGAAGUUCAUAAAUUCUGUUCACCCUACAGAAAGCUAGAGCCAAACCCAGUUCUCUUGCUUGGUGUAUCACUUUAUGUUUCAAAGAGAUACCUGAGUGGACUCUAUGGUUAAAAUAAGUAGGGAAAAGAUGUAAAGUGGAGCUCAGCCACUUUGGUUGGUUCAGCUCAAAAAACCUGGGUUGAUCAAGUUAUGUGUAUGUGAAAGUUGUUACAGGUGUGUUCACAUUAUUUUUAGUAUCAGAAAUAGAGUGGCCAGCAAGAACAUGGCAGUGAUUGUCACCCUGUACUGAGCACUGGUGAGGCCUCACCUUGAGUGCCAUGUUCAGCUCUGGGUCCCUCACUUCAAGAAGGAUAUUGAGGUGCUGGGGUGUGUCCAGAGGAAGACAAUAGAGCUGGUGAAGGGUCUGGAGCACAUUUCCUAGUGAGGAGCAGCUGAGGGAGCUGCAGUCACAGAGAAGAGGAAGCUCAGGGAAGACCUGAUCACUCUCCACAGCCACCUGAAAGGAGGCUGUAGCCAGAUGAGGGUCAGACUCUUCCCCCAUGCAUCUAGGGAUAGGACAAGAGGACGCAGUCAUAAAAUAUGCCAGGGGAGGUUUAGUUUGGACAUCACAAAGAAUUUCUUCACAGAAGAGUGAAGAAUUGGAAUGGGCUGCCCAGGGAGGUGGUGGAGUCACUGACCCUGGGGGUGUUUAAGGAAAGACUGGAUGUAGCACUUAAUGCCAUGGUCUAGCUAACAUGGCGGUGGUGUUAAAGGCAGAAAUUAAAGUCGAUGAUCUCUGAGGUCUUUUCCCACCUAGCUGAUCCCGUGAUUCUGUGAAGCAGAAGCGAGGAGGCUGGGGGAAGGAAAUGAUGGAAGAGCACGCAGCCGGUGGCAGGGGAUUUUGGAAGGCCAUGGGAAGGGGUCUGUGGAAGUAGAGAGGGCUGUCCCGAGGGAGCAGCGGAGCAAACGCGAGGAGCCGAGGCCCAGGAAACUUGAUCUUUCUGAGAGCUUCUUGUAUGCAGCCAGCUAAAUAACAAAGGCUUGUGUCAUAAAAGGAUGAAUAAGAUUAUUCUGGUAGCGUACAUGCCGAAGGAUGUGUCCCAUGAUUGCAACUCUGGGCUGCAGUCAAUUGUUGGUAAACUAUCCUGUGAAGAAUUUACAGGAUUGAGAGACAAGGGUCCUGGCUUUCAGAAGAACUACUACCUGUGGAAGUAUACUAUUUGUUAUUGGAUACUACUUAGAAAAUCUUUAGGCUGAGGUGGAGCUUGGGGACUGUCAUACGGCAACUCUGGAGACAGUGUUGGACAACAUGAGGGGCAUCUGUAGAAUCUGCACUCAACAAUUACAACUCUGUGAAACUCUUAAAUAAAACUAUUUCACAACAUGAUUGUGGAACAUUUGUUUUCUGA